CUGCCAUUUCUCUGUAGGUGGCACCAGGCCGCCCCUCUUGGCUGCUGCUCGUGGUCUCUUGGCCAACCCUUUGAUUUUUUGGUCUUCACUUCUUUUCUCAGCUCCCACUUCUGUUCCAGUUUCCCACUCCUUUUCAGCCUCUCCGUCUUUUUUUUGACCCCUGUUUUUUUUUCAACCUUCCACUUUCUGGCUUUAGGAUUUUUGGCCCCUGCCCCCCUCCCUGGCUCCCCGCUCCCCAGCCCCGGCCUCCCACGCCUCAGUGGCCUCAUUUCCAGGGAAGAAGUCCGUUGCACUCUGAGCUGUAAAAAAAACCCUUUCACAAUUGCCCUGAAGUGAUUUUCUAGGCUUCCAUCCCUCCCCCUCCGCCAGCCCUCGGGUCAGUGCUGCUCUCCCGGCGGCUGACCUUCGCACCCAGCACUCAGGACCCGGUUGUUGUCCUUUGGAGGGGCCGCAGCAGAUGGAGGCGGGCGGUUGGCAAACAGGACGUUGGCCUCCAGCGCUCGGCGAUAAACGCAGCGGCAGCGUUAGCGUCUUAAGGCGGGUGCUCGGCACGGGGCAGCGCCGCUUUGUCCCGCUCCCAUUACCCGCACCCAGAGCUCUGCUGCCCCACAGCCUGCCCGCAGCCCGGCGCUGCGCGGGGCCACGCGUGUAGGGCGGGCUGUGGGCCCGGCUGCCGGCCAUGGGCAGCGGUGCCCCUCGAGCAGCGCGUGUGGCUUUGAGCUCCGUGAGUCACCGGUGGGCACGUUGGGCAAUCCUGUGUUUCGCAAUCUGUUUUCCUUUGCAGGAAUCAGCCCCCGCUCUGCCUUCAGCACGGCCAAACCCAGCCGCGCUGCCGCUCUCUGCCCGCGCGCUUCUCCUGCCUGCAGACACGGGCACGGCGGCGCCCCGGGCACAGAGGUGAAGCCUCUCGGCAGCCCCCGCCGGCCCGGGGCGCGGAGCGGCUCUCUCCUCUCUGUCCCAGCAGAGCUCUGCAGCGCAGCAGCCUGCGGUCCCUCCAGGUGAACGGCCGCCGUGCUGCGGUUUCUCUGUCAGUCCUCCCCCGGCAUCACGGACAUCCACGGCUGUGUGAGCCGCGCUGAGGUCUCCUGCUUUCCGAGGGGCACCGACUCACCGCGCUGACGGUGAAAAAUUUGGCAGCUGGUUCAGGCGUGCUGUGACAGCCUCUCACCAAUCAGACACCACUCGCAGUUCGGUUUGAGAUGGGAACAGGAAGAAAUGUGUCAACACUUUCGUGUCUCUGCGUGUCGGAGCGGCGUGCCUGGCCCGGCUGUGUGCUGCGGGCACACGUGUCACGGGCAGCACCAGGGCUGUGCGCGGCUGUGCUCCGCCUGCAGGGCGGUGAGCCAGAGCCCCACGGCACCGCAGGGCCCCUCAGCACCGCUGUGUGCAGGCACUGCCGUGUCCCAGCAGGGCAGGCUUUGCUCUGAGCCUCUGUGUGAACACGACAGCGUGCCCCACGCACUGUGGGGCUGGGAUUAAAAACAGACUGUGUGCAAA